CCCCAUAGAGAUUAAGUACGGUACUAUAAAUAUACUCUAUAAGUGUUAAGUAUGGCAUUAUGAAUCUACUUCGUGAGAGUUAAGUAUGGCAUUAUGAAUCUACUCUAUGAGAGUUAAGUAUGGCAUUGUGAACCCACAGAGAUUAAACAUAUGCUAUGGAUCUUGCCACAAGAUUAUGCGGUCAUAGCAGAAACUGCUGUGUUGAUCAU
rnacentral:lncRNA from 1 species